GACGGAAGGUGCAAGCGUUGCUCGGAAUCACUGGGCGUAAAGGGUGCGUAGGCGGCCGUGCAAGUCUGGCGUGAAAGCCCCGGGCUCAGCCCGGGAAGUGCGCUCGAAACUGCGCGGCUCGAGUGCCGGAGGGGAGAGUGGAAUUCCUGGUGUAGCGGUGAAAUGCGUAGAUAUCAGGAGGAAUACCGGCGGCGAAAGCGACUCUCUGGACGGUAACUGACGCUGAGGCACGAAAGCGUGGGGAGCAAACAGG
rnacentral:rRNA from 1 species